AAUAUUCAGUUCAGUACUGUUCGUAGCAGAGAAAACAUCUAAUUUUUUCCGGGAAAAAAACAAUACAAAAUUCCAAAUUCGAAGUAUGUAAGUGAAGACUAAAAUGUCGUUUUUGAAAAAUAUUUCUUGAAAAGUGAACUAAAAUUAAAGUGAAUAAAAAGUUUUAAGUGCGCGCGCAAAUUUUCGUUUACUUCUAGUGUCCGCCUUUCGAUCCCACAUGCUAAAACGACAGAAAACUCGAAAACAUUUUAAUUAUUAUUUUACUUUAAACUGACACAUUUGUUUAAGCGCAGAAACAGAUGAUUAAUUGUUUGGCAUUGCUGAUAUCAUGGACACUUUCUGGCGAUCACAUGCAUUUUGGAUGGCCAUUUCAAUCCAAGCUACAUUAUUUUACACCGUUAAGGAUCAUCAGGCACUCAACGUCACACCUGAUUACAUUUUUUUUUAAUUCACAGUCUCUUCAAAGCCUUUAAACCAAUGGUAACUAAUGUUAACUGUUAGUUUCGGUGUGGUACCAAUGCCUCAGACAAGGGGCUGCGAGUGGCUUGCACACGAAAUGCUCCAACGCAACGCACACACAUUGUAAUACACUUCUGUCUAUGUACGCACACACACAUGUAACUACCGACUUUGCCGCUAUUUAUUUUAAGCUGCUGCCCCUAGAUAUUCUAUGCAUAUAAUUCAUUUAAUUGUUCUGUAUUAAAUAAUAGCCG